GGCAGGCAAUACAGAAACCUAUCUUGAAAAACAACAUAAUGGAGUCCAUCACUAUACUUCUAACCUCCACUGAACUCAGCCAGCUCAGAUCCUACCCGCCAGGCUUCAGAGCACAGCCCCUGAGCCCCUUCUGCAGGAGGACCAGUCUAUUCCUCCUCAAUGUAAGCGGUAGUCGGUGGAGCAAGAGAGUUCACAUAGCUGGCCGUUGAAGUCCAGGUCUUUCGUUGUCAAGUUACCACUGCUGGAUGGACCUUUUUCCUUAGUUCGGGUUUGCCUUUCUUAACUGUGGCCAUCACCAUGUCACCCACGCCAGCAGCAGGAAGUCUGUUCAGUCAUCCCUUGAUGCCCUUCACAAAGAUGAUAUACAAAUUUUUGGCACCUGUAUUGUCAGCACAGUUGAUCACAGCUCCUACGGGAAGGCCCAGGGAAAUCCGGAAUUUUGCUCCGGAAGACCCAUCAUGUCCUUCACAUUCCA
rnacentral:lncRNA from 1 species